GUGAUCAUGCACUGCACCUGGGCCAGCUGGGAGCUGUAGCGGGCCUCCGUCUCCGUCAGCGUGUUCUCCAGGGAGUCUCUCUGUGUGGGGAAGGUGUCUGAACACUACCCACCAGGUUGUGCUGGGCCUGCAGCUCGAUCUCCAGGGCGUUGACUGUGCGUCUCAGCUCGAUGAUCUCCGCCUGGCAGGUCUGCAGCUGCUCUGAGCUGGACACCACCUGCUUGUUCAGCUCCUGGGUCUGCAACAAGGCUCUGAAAACAAGACCAGGAUAUCACAAUACGAACUGAAGAAGCUGAUGCUCUGGUUUUAGGCAAGAAGCAAUAUAAGAUUGCUAUGGCUGAUUUUGGCCUAAUGCCUUACCCUCCCCCAAGUCUGUAUCUUUCCCUCAUGGGG